UACGUAGGGUGCAAGCGUUAAUCGGAAUUACUGGGCGUAAAGCGUGCGCAGGCGGUGAUGUAAGACAGGUGUGAAAUCCCCGGGCUUAACCUGGGAACUGCAUUUGUGACUGCACGGCUAGAGUGUGUCAGAGGGGGUAGAAUUCCACGUGUAGCAGUGAAAUGCGUAGAUAUGUGGAGGAAUACCGAUGGCGAAGGCAGCCCCCUGGGAUAACACUGACGCUCAUGCACGAAAGCGUGGGGAGCAAACAGG
rnacentral:rRNA from 1 species